rnacentral:rRNA from 1 species
CAGGGAAUCUUCGGCAAUGGACGGAAGUCUGACCGAGCAACGCCGCGGGAGUGAAGAAGGUUUUCGGAUCGUAAAGCUCUGUUGUUAGAGAAGAACGUUGGUAGGAGUGGAAAAUCUACCAAGUGACGGUAACUAACCAGAAAGGGACGGCUAACUACGUGCCAGCAGCCGCGGUAAUACGUAGGUCCCGAGCGUUGUCCGGAGUUAUUGGGCGUAAAGCGAGCGCAGGCGGUUCUUUAAGUCUGAAGUUAAAGGCAGUGGCUUAACCAUUGUACGCUUUGGAAACUGGAGGACUUGAGUGCAGAAGGGGAGAGUGGAAUUCCAUGUGUAGCGGUGAAAUGCGUAGAUAUAUGGAGGAACACCGGUGGCGGAAGCGGCUCUCUGGUCUGUAACUGACGCUGAGGCUCGAAAGCGUGGGGAGCAAACAGG